UACGGAAUGUGCAAACGUUAUUCGGAAUCACUGGGCUUAAAGAGUCCGUAGGCGGCAUGUUAGGUGAGGUGUGAAAUCCCCCCGGCUCAACCGAGGAAUUGCGCUUCAAACCGGCGUGCUAGAGGAAGAUAGAGGUGGGCGGAACUGAUGGUGGAGCGGUGAAAUGCGUUGAUAUCAUCAGGAACACCGGAGGCGAAGGCGGCCCACUGGGUCUUUUCUGACGCUGAGGGACGAAAGCUAGGGGAGCGAACGGG
rnacentral:rRNA from 1 species